GAUGAAGAACGUAGCGAAAUGCGAUAAGUAACGUGAAUUGCAGAAUUCAGUGAAUCAUCGAAUCUUUGAACGCACAUUGCGCCCUUUGGUAUUCCGAAGGGCAUGCCUGUUCGAGCGUCAUUUCACCACUCAAGCCUGGCUUGGUAUUGGGCGCCGCGGUCGAUCCGCGCGCCUCAAAGUCUCCGGCUGAGCUGUCCGUCUCUAAGCGUUGUGAUUUCAUUAAUCGCUUCGGAGUGCGGGCGGCCGCGGCCGUUAAAUCUUUCACAAGGUUGACCUCGGAUCAGGUAGGGAUACCCGCUGAACUUAAGCAUAUCAAUAAGCGGAGGA
rnacentral:misc_RNA from 1 species